rnacentral:rRNA from 1 species
CCUGACUGCUAUCGGAUUGAUACUAAGCCAUGCGAGUCAUUGUAGCAAUACAAGGCAGACGGCUCAGUAACGCGUAGUCAAUCUACCCUAUGGACGGGAAUAACCUCGGGAAACUGAGAAUAAUGCCCGAUAGAACAUUAUACCUGGAACGGUUUAUGUUUCAAAUGAUUUAUCGCCGUAGGAUGGGACUGCGGCCUAUCAGUUUGUUGGUGAGGUAAUGGCCCACCAAGACUAUUACAGGUACGGGCUCUGAGAGGAGUAGCCCGGAGAUGGGUAUUGAGACACGGACCCAGGCCCUAUGGGGCGCAGCAGGCGAGAAAACUUUGCAAUGUGCGAAAGCACGACAAGGUUAAUCCGAGUGGUUUCUGCUAAAGAAACCUUUUGCUAGUCCUAGAAACACUAGUGAAUAAGGGGUGGGCAAGUUCUGGUGUC